UUUUCAACUGCUAUUAUUCCAACACUUUGUGGGUGUAGUACUUCCGAUUUGUAGUUCUAUGUAUUUGCAGUUGUUUCCGGUUUGAUUUGUGGUUUGGGUGAGUGGUUUUGUGAUUGGUGUGUUGUUUUUCUAUUUCUGUUAUUCUUGCAACUUUGCAAGCUCUUUCUCACCAUUUUUUUUUGGGGGUUUUGUAAUUCUUUUUUGGCAUCAAACGGAGCUUUAUUGCUUGCGAUUUGCGAAUUUGGAUUUUGAUCAAGAAAUAGAUUCAGCAAAGAAGACCUCCUUUGUUGUAAGUUAUGAAACAGGGUUUUGGUUAGAUUGCUCUAUGGUCUCUUACCGCUGCAUCUCACCGGGAAAAUGCAGGUAUAUCAAUAGGGUGAUUUUGUACUUUGCACAAAGUGUUUUGAAAAUGGAAACUAUGGGAAGAACAAAUUGAAGUUAGAUUUCAAGUAUAACAACCAGUACGUUGAAAAGAGUGGUAAUACUGGAGUUGAGUGGACUGAAUCAGAAACUUCCUUUAACUCCUAGAAAACUUUACUUCUGUCCAAAAUUUGUGUGCGAUAUUAUU